rnacentral:tRNA from 1 species
GGCCGGCUGGCGCAAUGGUAGCGCGUCAGACUUCUAUGAAAUAGCGAUCUGAAGGUUGCGGGUUCGAGACCCGCGUUGGUCA